GACGAACGCUGGCGGCGUGCUUAACACAUGCAAGUCGAACGGAAAGGCCCUGCUUUUGUGGGGUGCUCGAGUGGCGAACGGGUGAGUAACACGUGAGUAACCGGCCCUUGACUUUGGGAUAACUUCAGGAAACUGGGGCUAAUACCGGAUAGGAGCUCCUGCUGCAGGGUGGGGGUUGGAAAGUUUCGGCGGUUGGGGAUGGACUCGCGGCUUAUCAGCUUGUUGGUGGGGUAGUGGCUUACCAAGGCUUUGACGGGUAGCCGGCCUGAGAGGGUGACCGGCCACAUUGGGACUGAGAUACGGCCCAGACUCCUACGGGAGGCAGCAGUGGGGAAUCUUGCACAAUGGGCGGAAGCCUGAUGCAGCAACGCCGCGUGCGGGAUGACGGCCUUCGGGUUGUAAACCGCUUUCGCCUGUGACGAAGCGUGAGUGACGGUAAUGGGUAAAGAAGCACCGGCUAACUACGUG
rnacentral:rRNA from 1 species